rnacentral:rRNA from 1 species
CAGCCGCCGCGGUAAUACGUAGGUCCCGAGCGUUGUCCGGAUUUAUUGGGCGUAAAGCGAGCGCAGGCGGUUAGAUAAGUCUGAAGUUAAAGGCUGUGGCUUAACCAUAGUACGCUUUGGAAACUGUUUAACUUGAGUACAAGAGGGGAGAGUGGAAUUCCAUGUGUAGCGGUGAAAUGCGUAGAUAUAUGGAGGAACACCGGUGGCGAAAGCGGCUCUCUGGCUUGUAACUGACGCUGAGGCUCGAAAGCGUGGGGAGCAAACAGGAUUAGAUACCCGCGUAGUCCCUGUCUCUUAUACA